GCUCCCAUGGCGUAGUGGUCACUGCGCUCGCCUUGCGCGUGGGAGACCCGGGUUCGAUUCCCAGCGGGGCCA
rfam:Asian citrus Psyllid, Diaphorina citri - Florida Strain, whole genome shotgun sequence.